AUUGAACGCUGGCGGCAUGCCUUACACAUGCAAGUCGAACGGCAGCACGGGAGCAAUCCUGGUGGCGAGUGGCGAACGGGUGAGUAAUAUAUCGGAACGUGCCCAGUCGUGGGGAUAACGUAGCGAAAGCUACGCUAAUACCGCAUACGAUCUACGGAUGAAAGCGGGGGAUCGCAAGACCUCGCGCGAUUGGAGCGGCCGAUAUCAGAUUAGGUAGUUGGUGAGGUAAAGGCUCACCAAGCCGACGAUCUGUAGCUGGUCUGAGAGGACGACCAGCCACACUGGGACUGAGACACGGCCCAGACUCCUACGGGAGGCAGCAGUGGGAAUUUUGGACAAUGGGCGCAAGCCUGAUCCAGCAAUGCCGCGUGCAGGAUGAAGGCCUGG
rnacentral:rRNA from 1 species